rnacentral:tRNA from 1 species
UCCCUGGUAGUCCAGUGGCUAAGACACUUAGCUCCCAAUGCAUGGGGGCCAGGUUCAAUCCCUGGUCAGGGAG